rnacentral:rRNA from 2 species
CUGCGAGUGAAGCGGGAAAAGCUCAAAUUUAAAAUCUGUCAGUCUUUGGCUGUCCGAGUUGUAAUCUAGAGAAGUGUUAUCCGCGCUGGACCGUGUACAAGUCUCCUGGAAUGGAGCGUCAUAGAGGGUGAGAAUCCCGUCUUUGACACGGACUGCCAGGGCUNCUGUGAUACGCUCUCAAAGAGUCGAGUUGUUUGGGAAUGCAGCUCAAAAUGGGUGGUAAAUUCCAUCUAAAGCUAAAUAUUGGCGAGAGACCGAUAGCGAACAAGUACCGUGAGGGAAAGAUGAAAAGAACUUUGGAAAGAGAGUUAAACAGUACGUGAAAUUGCUGAAAGGGAAACGCUUGAAGUCAGUCGCGUUGUCCAGGGAUCAACCUUGCUUUUGCUUGGUGUACUUUCUGGUUGACGGGUCAGCAUCAAUCUUGACUGUUGGAAAAAGGUCAUGGGAAUGUGGCAUCUUCGGAUGUGUUAUAGCCCUUGGUUGCAUACAAUGGUUGGGAUUGAGGAACUCAGCACGCCGCAAGGCCGGGUAUCCAAUUACCACGUACGUGCUUAGGAUGCUGGCAUAAUGGCUUUAAUCGACCCGUCUUGAAACACGGACCAAGGAGUCUAACAUACCUGCGAGUGUUUGGGUGGAAAACUCGAGCGCGUAAUGAAAGUGAAAGUUGAGAUCCCUGUCGUGGGGAGCAUCGACGCCCGGACCAGACCUUUUGUGACGGUUCCGCGGUAGAGCAUGUAUGUUGGGACCCGAAAGAUGGUGAACUAUGCCUGAAUAGGGUGAAGCCAGAGGAAACUCUGGUGGAGGCUCGUAGCGAUUCUGACGUGCAAAUCGAUCGUCAAAUUUGG